UUCCAUGCUUCCAAGAAAAGCAUCUAGAGAGAGAAGUAGUGCCCGUACCGCAAACCGACACAGGUAGAUGAGGAGAGAAUCCUAAGGCCGGCGGAAGAAUUGCAGUUAAGGAACUAGGCAAAUUGACCCCGUAAGUUAGCGAGAAGGGGUGCCUGCGAGAGCAGGCCGCAGAGAAUAGGCCCAAGCAACUGUUUAGCAAAAACACAGGUCUCUGCUAAAGCGCAAGCUGAUGUAUAGGGGCUGACGCCUGCCCGGUGCUGGAAGGUUAAGGGGAACACUUAGCGCAAGCGAAGGUGUGAACUUAAGCCCCAGUAAACGGCGGCCGUAACUAUAACGGUCCUAAGGUAGCGAAAUUCCUUGUCAGGUAAGUUCUGACCCGCACGAAUGGCGUAAUGACUUGGGCACUGUCUCAACUGCAAAUCCGGCGAAGUUGUAGUGCGAGUGAAGAUGCUCGCUACCCGCGAUUGGACGGAAAGACCCCGUAGAGCUUUACUGUAGCUUAGCAUUGAAUUCCGGUAUUGUCUGUACAGGAUAGGUGGGAGACUGGGAAACUAGGGCGUCAGCCUUAGUGGAGUCGUCCUUGGGAUACCACCCUGACAGUACUGGGGUUCUAACAGGACGCCAUGAAUCUGGUGACUGGACAUUGUUAGGUGGGCAGUUUGACUGGGGCGGUCGCCUCCUAAAAAGUAACGGAGGCGCCCAAAGGUUCCCUCAGAACGGUCGGAAAUCGUUCGUAGAGUGCAAAGGCAGAAGGGAGCCUGACUGCGAGACCUACAAGUCGAGCAGGGACGAAAGUCGGGCUUAGUGAUCCGGUGGUACCUCGUGGGAGGGCCAUCGCUCAACGGAUAAAAGCUACCUCGGGGAUAACAGGCUGAUCUCCCCCAAGAGUCCACAUCGACGGGGAGGUUUGGCACCUCGAUGUCGGCUCGUCGCAUCCUGGGGCUGUAGUAGGUCCCAAGGGUUGGGCUGUUCGCCCAUUAAAGCGGCACGCGAGCUGGGUUCAGAACGUCGUGAGACAGUUCGGUCCCUAUCCGUCGCGGGCGUAGGAAAUUUGAGAGGAGCUGUCCUUAGUACGAGAGGACCGGGAUGGACUGACCUCUGGUGCACCAGUUGUUCUGCCAAGAGCAUGGCUGGGUAGCUAAGUCGGGAAGGGAUAAACGCCGAAAGCAUCUAAGCGUGAAGCCUCCCUCAAGAUGAGAUUUCCCAUAGCAUAAGCUAGUAAGACCCCUUGAAGAACACGAGGUUGAUAGGUCAGAGGUGUAAGUGUGGUAACAUAUUUAGCUGACUGAUACUAAUAGGUCGAGGGCUUGACC
rnacentral:rRNA from 1 species